AACCCUAGAAUUCACAAUCUUCUCAUUCACGCCUUCUUUCUUCAAUCCUCUGCUCCAUUCAACCUUCAAUGAUAUGGAAUUUGGUUUGGCCUUUCUUCGAUUGUGUCUUUCAUUUUAUAUGUGUUCAUUCCCCACCCUGCCUUCUUAUCUUUUUCACCUACAUAUCGCAGAGAAUGAGAGCCAGAGAGAGAAAGAGAGGAUUUGGGAGAAACAGACCGCUAAUUUCCAUUUUGGUUUCUGGAAUUGGUGAAUCGGGAGAUGCUGAUGAGGUUCAACUCGUGGUGGUGUUGUCUUACAAGUUUGCUGGUCUGGAGUGGAAUAGCGGGUUCCUUCAACAUUCGGCACCACCAAAGCUGUCAAGGACAGAUUCAAGAUGGAAUUUGAGUUAUCGAGUGUGUAUGGCCUAAGUCACUUUGAGAUUGGUGAUAUUAAACUGUUGAGAUUAGGGAAAUUAGGAGAAUGUUUGGAAAAAAACAUGUCGAUAUUCCAAGUCCAAAUGAAAGCGAACUUGCACAUUUAAGUAUUUAACAGGAAUAACAGAGAGCUUUGAACAAAUUAGCCUAGCUGAUUCCGAAUGUCACAAAUUGGGAUUAAAGAGGUCCUUGUGAAACUUAGUGGGUGAGGAUCGGUUUUGUUCUUUGGAGAAAAAGAACCAAUUAAACAAGUUGAUUAGCAGUUCGGUAUUGGGGAAAGCUUGGUCUCUUUGACAUCUUUAGUGCUCAUACAUGGAAGGGUAUGUAUAUGUUUGAAUCAGGUAUAUAUUUAUUCGAAUGGUAGGCAAUUUGCACAACGGUUAAUAUUUGGAUAUAAAAAGUAUGGCUACUUAAGGAAAUAUUUAUGUGGAUAAUUCGUCACGAGGGCGGGGUAAAACUUGAUCCUUAGAUUGGGAGACCAAUUGUGUAUGCGUUGGCCACAAAAGGGAGAGUAUGGAGUUAGAAGAAAUGUGGAAGGAUGAACUCUCAAUGAUAUGUGGAUGUCACUUUGUUUAUGAUUUAUGAAGUGACUUCAAGGUUAUUAAAUUUUAUGUGUUUGUUAAAUCAAAGAGGACUUGCAUCUAUAACGUUGGAUGUGGCAGGGCGUGCUACGCCAACCUGACUGAGUUCAUGUUACUUUUAGUAAAUUGUAAAUGUAACAUUAUUUUCGUUUUCUUGAUGUUUUUAUAUACGUCUUAUAAAGAAAACUUCAUACCUAAUGAUACAA